rnacentral:rRNA from 1 species
AUUGAACGCUGGCGGAAUGCUUUACACAUGCAAGUCGAACGGCAGCACGGACUUCGGUCUGGUGGCGGGUGGCGAACGGGUGAGUAAUGUAUCGGAACGUGCCCAGUCGUGGGGGAUAACGUAGUGAAAAUUACGCUAAUACCGCAUACGAUCUAUGGAUGAAAGCGGGGGAUCGCAAGACCUCGCGCGAUUGGAGCGGCAGAUAUCAGAUUAGGUAGUUGGUGGGGAAAAGGCCCACCAAGCCAACGAUCUGUAGCUGGUCUGAGAGGACGACCAGCCACACUGGAACUGAGACACGGUCCAGACUCCUACGGGAGGCAGCAGUGGGGAAUUUUGGACAAUGGGCGAAAGCCUGAUCCAGCCAUUCCGCGUGCAGGAUGAAGGCCCUCGGGUUGUAAACUGCUUUUGUACAGAACGAAAAGGUUUCUACUAAUACUAGGAGCUCAUGACGGUACUGUAAGAAUAAGCACCGGCUAACUACGUGCCAGCCGCCGCCGUAA